UACAGAGGUCUCAAGCGUUGUUCGGAUUCAUUGGGCGUAAAGGGUGCGUAGGCUGCGCGGAAAGUUGGGUGUGAAAUCCCUCGGCUCAACCGAGGAACUGCGCCCAAAACUACCGUGCUCGAGGAAGAUAGAGGUAAGCGGAACUUACGGUGGAGCGGUGAAAUGCGUUGAUAUCGUAAGGAACACCUGUGGCGAAAGCACUCUGCUGGGCCGACACUGACACUGAGAGACGAAAGCUAGGGGAGCGAAUGGG
rnacentral:rRNA from 1 species